AGUGAACGCUGGCGGUAGGCCUAACACAUGCAAGUCGAACGGCAGCACAGUAAGAGCUUGCUCUUACGGGUGGCGAGUGGCGGACGGGUGAGGAAUACAUCGGAAUCUACUUUUUCGUGGGGGAUAACGUAGGGAAACUUACGCUAAUACCGCAUACGACCUACGGGUGAAAGCAGGGGAUCUUCGGACCUUGCGCGAUUGAAUGAGCCGAUGUCGGAUUAGCCAGUUGGCGGGGUAAAGGCCCACCAAGGCGACGAUCCGUAGCUGGUCUGAGAGGAUGAUCAGCCAAACUGGAACUGAGACACGGUCCAGACUCCUACGGGAGGCAGCAGUGGGGAAUAUUGGACAAUGGGCGCAAGCCUGAUCCAGCCAUACCGCGUGGGUGAAGAAGGCCUUCGGGUUGUAAAGCCCUUUUGUUGGGAAAGAAAAGCAGCAGGUUAAUACCCCGCUGUUCUGACGGUACCCAAAGAAUAAGCACCGGCUAACUUCGUG
rnacentral:rRNA from 1 species